rnacentral:rRNA from 1 species
UGAGAAUGCCGGUAUGAGUAGCGAGAGGCAUGCGAGAAACAUGCCCGUCGAAAGCCCAAGGUUUCCUGGGGAAGGUUCAUCCGCCCAGGGUAAGUCGGGGCCUAAGCCGAGGACGGAAGUCGUAGGCGAUGGACAGCAGGUGUAGAUUCCUGCACUACCGAUGGAAUGAAGCAGUGACACAGAAGGAUAACUCGAGCAGGGUGAUGGUCAACCCUGUGCAAGCAUUGAGGUUGGGUUGUAGUGAAGUACGCAAUCCUAUAAGCUGAGAUGUGAUGCGGACCGAAAUUUCAGUAGGGAAGCGAGUGAGUUCACGCUGGCGAGAAAAGCUGCUAGUACAUCCAAAGGUACCCGUACCGGAAACCGACGCAGGUGGGCGAGGAGAGAAUCCUGAGACGAACGGGAGAACCCUUGUUAAGGAACUCGGCAAAAUGACCCCGUAACUUCGGGAUAAGGGGUGCCUGCGAGAGCAGGCCGCAGAGAAUAGUCACAAGCGACUGUUUAGCAAAAACACAGGUAUCUGCGAAAGCGAGAGCUGACGUAUAGGUGCUGACGCCUGCCCGGUGCUGGAAGGUUAAGGGAACAUGUUAGAGCAAUCGAAGCAUCGAACCGAAGCCCCAGUAAACGGCGGCCGUAACAAUAACGGUCCUAAGGUAGCGAAAUUCCUUGUCGGGUAAGUUCCGACCCGCACGAAUGGUGUAACGACUUGUGAGCUGCCUCAACAGGGGGCCCGGUGAAAUUGAAGUAUGGGUGAAGAUGCCCAUUACCCGCGACUGGACGGAAAGACCCCGUAGAGCUUUACUGCAGCCUGAUAUUGAGUUUCGGUAACUGAUGCACAGGAUAGGUGGGAGUCUGAGAGACAUGGGUUUCGGCUCAUGUGGAGACGAUGUUGGGAUACCACUCUUCGGUUACUGAAAUUCUAACAUAGCUCUGUGAAACCAGAGGAUGGACAGUGUCAGGUGGACAGUUUGACUGGGGCGGUCGCCUCCGAAAGAGUAACGGAGGCGCCCAAAGGUACCCUCAGAAUGGACGGAAACCAUUCGAAGAGCGCAAAGGCAGAAGGGUGCCUGACUGCGAGAUUGACAAAUCGAGCAGAGACGAAAGUCGGGCUUAGUGAUCCGGCGGUAUUGAGUGGAAAAGCCGUCGCUUAACGGAUAAAAGCUACCUCGGGGAUAACAGGCUGAUCUCCCCCAAGAGUCCACAUCGACGGGGAGGUUUGGCACCUCGAUGUCGGCUCGUCGCAUCCUGGGGCUGAAGCAGGUCCCAAGGGUUUGGCUGUUCGCCAAUUAAAGCGGCACGCGAGCUGGGUUCAGAACGUCGUGAGACAGUUCGGUCCCUAUCCAUCGUGGGCGUAGGAGUCAUGAGAGGAGCUGUUCCUAGUACGAGAGGACCGGAAUGGACGCACCACUGGUGCAACUGUUGUCGUGCCAACGGCAUAGCAGGGAAGCGAAGUGCGGAUGGGAUAAACGCUGAAGGCAUCUAAGCGUGAAGCCCACCUCAAGAAUAAGACUCCACAAUAGACCCCUGGAGGACUACCAGGUAGAUAGGUCAUCGGUGGAAGCGCUGUAAGGCGUGUAGCUUGAUGAUACUAAUCGGUCGAAAGCUUCAU